rnacentral:tRNA from 1 species
GGCUCCUUGGUCAAGCGGUUAAGACACCGCCCUUUCACGGCGGUAACACGGGUUCGAGUCCCGUCGAGACCG